GCUUUAGCUAUCACUCUGGGAGGGACCUGCGGUGCAUUAGCUAGUUGGUAAGGUAACGGCUUACCAAGGCGAUGAUGCAUAGCCGAGUUGAGAGACUGAUCGGCCACAAUGGAACUGAGACACGGUCCAUACUCCUACGGGAGGCAGCAGUAGGGAAUCUUCCACAAUGGGCGCAAGCCUGAUGGAGCAACACCGCGUGAGUGAAGAAGGGUUUCGGCUCGUAAAGCUCUGUUGUUGGAGAAGAACGUGCGUGAGAGUAACUGUUCGCGCAGUGACGGUAUCCAACCAGAAAGUCACGGCUAACUACGUGCCAGCAGCCGCGGUAAUACGUAGGUGGCAAGCGUUAUCCGGAUUUAUUGGGCGUAAAGCGAGCGCAGGCGGUUGCUUAGGUCUGAUGUGAAAGCCUUCGGCUUAACCGAAGAAGUGCAUCGGAAACCGGGCAACUUGAGUGCAGAAGAGGACAGUGGAACUCCAUGUGUAGCGGUGGAAUGCGUAGAUAUAUGGAAGAACACCGGUGGCGAAGGCGGCUGUCUGGUCUGCAACUGACGCUGAGGCUCGAAAGCAUGGGUAGCGAACAGGAUUAGAUACCCUGGUAGUCCAUGCCGUAAACG
rnacentral:rRNA from 1 species